rnacentral:rRNA from 1 species
ACGCUGGCGGCAGGCCUAACACAUGCAAGUCGAGCGGUAGAGAGAAGCUUGCUUCUCUUGAGAGCGGCGGACGGGUGAGUAAUGCCUAGGAAUCUGCCUGGUAGUGGGGGAUAACGUUCGGAAACGGACGCUAAUACCGCAUACGUCCUACGGGAGAAAGCAGGGGACCUUCGGGCCUUGCGCUAUCAGAUGAGCCUAGGUCGGAUUAGCUAGUUGGUGAGGUAAUGGCUCACCAAGGCGACGAUCCGUAACUGGUCUGAGAGGAUGAUCAGUCACACUGGAACUGAGACACGGUCCAGACUCCUACGGGAGGCAGCAGUGGGGAAUAUUGGACAAUGGGCGAAAGCCUGAUCCAGCCAUGCCGCGUGUGUGAAGAAGGUCUUCGGAUUGUAAAGCACUUUAAGUUGGGAGGAAGGGCAUUAACCUAAUACGUUAGUGUUUUGACGUUACCGACAGAAUAAGCACCGGCAAACUCUGUGCCAGCAGCCGCGGUAAUACAGAGGGUGCAAGCGUUAAUCGGAAUUACUGGGCGUAAAGCGCGCGUAGGUGGUUUGUUAAGUUGGAUGUGAAAUCCCCGGGCUCAACCUGGGAACUGCAUUCAAAACUGACUGACUAGAGUAUGGUAGAGGGGUGGUGGAAUUUCCUGUGUAGCGGUGAAAUGCGUAGAUAUAGGAAGGAACACCAGUGGCGAAGGCGACCACCUGGACUAAUACUGACACUGAGGUGCGAAAGCGUGGGGAGCAAAC